CCAGCUGGCCGGGCAGCCGCGCGCGCAGGUGUCGAAAGGCAGCGCGUGAGGAAAGUCCGGGCUCCACGGAAAUACGGUGCCGGGUAACGCCCGGCGGGGGAAACCCCAGGGAAAGUGCCACAGAAAGCAGACCGCCCCGCCCGUAUUUCGGCUCGCCGCGGCGGAAACGUCUCGGGCGAAGAGGCGAAAUACGGGCGGGGUAAGGGUGAAAGGGUGGGGUAAGAGCCCACCGCGCUCCUGGCAACAGGGGCGGCACGGUAAACCCCACCGGGAGCAAGACCGAAUAGGAACGGCGCGAAGGGUGACCUUCGAGGGCGAUUUCCGGCCCGCCGUUCGGGUAGGUUGCUAGAGGCCGGUGGCGACAUCGGUCCCAGAGGAAUGGCUGCCUCACCGCGCUUCGGCGCGGUGAACAGAACCCGGCUUACAGGCCGGCUGGUUUC
rnacentral:RNase_P_RNA from 1 species